UAUAAAGUUAAACAACUUCUUCUCCUCUGUCUCCUGUUUAUUAUCAUUAUUUUAUUAUUAUUAAAAAAGGAAGUCUCUCAGAAACCAAGCUGUAUAUCCUCUAGUCUCUAUGUAAAAAAACAAAUUGGUCAUUUUCUACUUGGACAUCCCAGAAUAGAAAGUACAUUGAAGUACUAAAAAAUAAAGGGAUAGACUUGGGGUUAAGGGAGAUGUCAUAGAACAGCUAUCCUGGGUUAGUUCAAGUGUAGUCCUAUUCCAUGCUAGGCAAAGUCAAGGUUACAAAAAUCCCAGUUGCAUCAGGUUUCCAUUUUUUAUCAUUAUUUCCCUAUACAACGAUACAAGUUAAAAAAAAGUCGGUAAAUACUUUUGGCCAUCAAUUUUCAAGAUUUCAUUGGUGAUAUUAAGGAAAUGCUGUAAGUAGGUAACACAUAAUGUCAUAUUUGUGUGCUGUAGAAGUAUCUUGGAAAAUAUGGACUUUAAAACCUCAAAAUAUGGGUUUGCAAUCGAACAUACAUUCACCCCCAAAUUUGACCUUUUUCAGCUAGUUAUUUUCUCAUAUAAAGUUACUAUACUUACACCAUUAUCUUUAAUCCCUGAAAUUUCAAUUAUACUAGAAAUCAAGAUUCUUCAUUUUUACUCACGAAACUGACACUAAGUAUAUACCUCAUUAAGGACAAGAAGCUAUGAAUUCUCUGGACUUCAGUUAUCUCACAGAAAAGAGCUUGAUUGAAUAAUGUCUAAGGCUCUUCCUGACAUAGUCUAAAUAACAGAAGGUGUCUCACAAGAAAUGGAAGCAGUGAGAGAAAAAUGCAAUUAAAUCCUAGACUAGAAAGAAUCACAAUUUUCCCACUCACAGGUUGGAAAUGCCUCUCUAUUCUAUCACAAUUUUGAAAACCUCCAUAGUUUUACUAGCUUUGCCUUUCUCCCUUGCUAUCAUCUUCUGAGGUACAGACAGUCCUUUCCAUUUUUAUUCCUCUCCCACUCUGAUAAUUUUUUUCUUUGACAGAAGUCCCACUUUAUCAUUAAUGAUGACAAUAACUAAGGCUGCCAGGAACAGCACAUCUGCUGAGCUUUAUCAACACCAGAUUCUCUCAUUUUGCCUUCUGGAUCUCCAUGCUUUUUUAUACCAACAAACAAGAGGAAGAAUAUUCUCUACCCACUUCCUUGACUGAAGCCUGCUCUUUUAUGAAGACAUGGCAUCUCUUCCAACCGUGUCAAACAGAUGCAAUUUAUAUGUCUGCUGCUUCCAUACCCUGAUUAAAUGGGUCAGUGGCAGAAUCAGUAUCCUUAGUCUCCCCUUUGGUUUCAAAUAUGUACUCCUUAUUUCAGUUUCAUGCUCACCUUUCUGUAGAGACCAAGGCAUCUGCCUUUGCAGCUUUACCUCUUCCUCCAGGUUAUAGUUUCCAUUCAUGGAAUCUUUUAGCUGCUGGCUGGCAGUUUUCCUGUCUACCUGACUUCCAUUCCUCUUCUCAUGACUUCAGCUCCCAUGCAGAUGUCUUAUCCUGACAUACUAGCUUCUCCAUUCUAUUUCUGUGUGUGUGUGUCUGUGUGUUUCCCUACUAGUUCAUCCACAUUUCCCUAUGGUCUUUUUUUUUUAUGUUUUAUUUUUGCAUAUGUGUAUUUCCUUUUAUUUAUUUAUUUAUUUAUU
rnacentral:lncRNA from 1 species